rnacentral:lncRNA from 1 species
GCAAAGUCUGGGCCACACCCGUCUACUGCAUCAGAAACUCUGGAAUCUGGGUCUUAACAAACCCUCCAAGUGAUCCUGAUGCCAGCUCAAGUUUGACCCCAGAUUAGAGGGACACAAUGAGAAGGCUGGCACUCCAGGGUGGGACCUUCCCCGGGUCCCCCAAAGCAUCAGUCAAGUCUACCCAGGUGAUGAAUUUGCUUCGUGCAAGGGUUUAGGAGCAUGGAGUCCAAUCCUCCCGGCUCUAAGCAGGACCCAGCCAGCCUGCUCUACCCAGAGCCUUCCUUAGCUACUCCCAGCCACGCAAUGUCAAUCACAACCUCCUGCCUCUCCGGCAGGCCAGGCACUGUGCUAGGAGCCUUAAGUCGUGAAUUGGUCCC